UGCGAAGGGGGCUAGCGUUGUUCGGAAUUACUGGGCGUAAAGCGCGUGUAGGCGGGCGAAUAAGUCAGGGGUGAAAUGCCAAGGCUCAACCUUGGAACUGCCUUUGAUACUGUUCGUCUUGAGUCCGGGAGAGGUGAGUGGAACUGCGAGUGUAGAGGUGAAAUUCGUAGAUAUUCGCAAGAACACCAGUGGCGAAGGCGGCUCACUGGCCCGGAACUGACGCUGAGACGCGAAAGCGUGGGGAGCAAACAGG
rnacentral:rRNA from 1 species